GGUACACAGGUGGUACACAGGUACAGGUGGUACACAGGUACACAGGUGGUACACAGGUGGUACACAGGUGGUACACAGGUACAGGUGGUACACAGGUACACAGGUGGUACACAGGUACAGGUGGUACACAGGUACACAGGUGGUACACAGGUACAGGUGGUACACAGGUACACAGGUGG